AAAAAUUUCUCUCUUGUUUGCCGCGGCCACCGCCUCGCCUCGUCGGCCCAUCCCAGGUCCUCCGGCGCCGGCCACCGAAGAAGGAAGCAAACUCCACAUCCAGUCGUCCUCCUCUCUACCCAGGCACGUCGCCUCCUUCCCUCCCCUUCCCUCACUCCCUGCUCCUUCUCUGCCGCUCCUACCCCUUUCUUUUCUCAAUCCGGAUCUGUGGAGGUGGCCGGCAGAGAGGACGGUCAUGGCAGGAGUGCUCAACGCGGGGACGGCAGAUCGAUCUGCGGAGCUGCCUUAUGCCGGCUUCCUCACCAUGCUGCGACCACCGCCUCCGCAGGCCAGUCGUUGAUGUUACUCUUCAGCAGAGGCGAGAUUGGGUAGGAGCACGGGCGAGUGGGAGGCGUGGUGCUGCGAAGAUGUGGCACACGUCACAGACAGGAAGAGGGUGUGGCGUGAGGAGAUGGGCGGCGACACCAUUCGCUGGCUCCUGUAGCAGUCGGAGCAGCCUAUCGUUGCCCCUUGGGCACAGGCACGGUGCCCUCGAUCGCCACCACCGUCAAUGGCUUGCUCCGCAUCCCAUCGACCAAUCGAGUCGCCAUCGGCCGGAGGGAUCAAUCUGUUCUUCCUACCCCUGCAUUUGUUGUCCCUAUCGAGAUGCUAAAUCCAGCUGAGCUUUGAUUUUCACAUGGCACAUGUGCUGAUUGAACCUGAUCCAAUGACCUAUCCCCCGAGGCCUGGAGAAAUUAUUUAUGAUUUCUAUAUGAAGACGGGGUUUUGUAAGUUUAUUGAAAGAUGCAAGUUUCACCAUCCAGUUGAUUGGUAUGCACCUGAUUGCAUUGCAAAAUGAAGGAGAGAGUUCCAAAUACACGGAGUUGGCUCAAUUGUACGAGAAGUACAAGGACCUGGGUUUUGAGAAUUGAGAUCUUUGAUUUCCCAUGCAACCAGUUUGGUGGGUAGGUACCAGCUGGUACUGAUGAGGAAUAUUUGCGCUCGUAAGUCCGAGUAUCCUAUUUUUGACAAGGCAAAUGGGUGCUUGAUACUUCAUCCUUCCUUUGUUUUGUUGGUCUCUCUGUUUCAAGCUGAAAGAAACAAUUGCUUCAGUGUACAAUGUACACCACGACUGCUUCCAUGAACAGUUAUUAUAAUGAUGUUUGCCCGGGCACUUCUGUUGUCUCCACCCCGUCCCACUGAGGUAACAGCAGCUGGAUUGUAUUCAUCCAGCGCACAAUCAGUUCUGUGUAUUGCCAAAUCAAUCAAUCCAACAAGGGUAGGGAGGGAUCCUUCACAAUUUCAUCUAGAUCCGCCCAUGUAUGUGUUAGUGUUCAAGAUCACUUAGGUUAUUUUUGUCGUACUACUAGGAACUUGUUAAUCAGUGGCACUCUUCUUUCAAGCUCUAUAAAAUUCAGGCUCAAGCCUACCUUCUUAUGAUUGUAAUUGAGUAGUUUUUCAUACUAAUGAGAGAUAAUAAUCAAUAAAAGCUUACUAGUGAUUCAUGUUUUUCUUACUAAUGGUUCAUGAUUUAUUUACUGAAAUAGUCGACUAUUAGGCAAAUUUAUUGGUAGAUUUGACGAAUAAUUUUGCAUCACGCCUUGUCCAUUCUUUUUAUAUAUUUUAACCGAUCUGUUAAGUAACAUGCCCUUUGUUAAUCUCCAUCUGUUUUGCCUUCUUUAAAAAGGUUAGCAUAUAGAACAUGAAAUCUGUGAGCAAAGACAGCCAAAAUGUUGAUUCCAACCAAAGAUUGCUGGCUACAAUGUGUGACCAUUUUGGGUCAGUAAACUGUGUGAGACGGGCCAAGAAUGGACGCUAUCUUGCUUCAGGAUCAGACGAUCAAGCUAUCCUAAUUCAUGAAGGGAAAGCUGGUUCCAGUACAUCUGAGUUUGGAACUGGAGAGCCAGCAGAUAUAGGAAAUUGGAAGGUCGUUAUGAUCUUAAGGGGGCAUACUGCAAAUGUGCUGCAGAAGACAGAGGCGAAGAUGUCCUUAUUUGCAGAUGUCAUCUGUGUGGCCCUGCGCACAAGAGAAUACAGUACACAACAAUGAUGAGGUCAGAGCCUUGUUUAAGCAAGUGCAAGGAGAAGUUCCUGGAUCGCCUAUAUUUAUUAUGAAGGUGGCAUCUGAGAGCCAACAUCUAGAGGUUCAUUUGCUCUGUAACAAGCAUGACAACGUGGCAGCACUGCACAGUCGAGACUGUAGUGUUCAAAGAAGGCACCAAAAGGUUAGUUAUUCUCCUGAAACAUUGUGUUGUUCAAUAUCAGUUCUGUAGGAAUUAGUCUGAGCCAAACAUUUGUGUAGUGAGUAUUGGUAGAUGUUCUACAGCUUCAGGGAAUUACAACUUCAUUGGACGAUGUAGCAAUAAUAUACUGUUUAGCAAAGUGCAAAAUGUUACACGAGCUAUACAAAAUUUAAUUCUUAGGAUUUUCUCCAAUGGAAUCAUUUAUUUCUGUCAGUUAUACUUACACUGUACUAAAUAGUUGGAUGUUGCAUUUUGAAUUCAAGAACAAACUUUUUCUUCCUGUACUGAUAUAUGUGUUGGGACGUCGGCCUCUCUCUCCCUGAGCUAGCGCGCCGCCGAACGGCAGGGCCCGUCCAUUGGGUUUCCUUAUCAUUUGUCUUAUGAUUCGAGGUGCGCUUGUGCGUGCGCACGAUUUCGUCUUGGUUUCUGGCGAGCGACCGAGAUCUGCUCUGCUCUGCUCGGUGCCGGAAAACUCGAGGUUUCAAUUGAGGUCUGUUCGUUCCUUCGAUAGAAGCCGAUUCAGUUGAGCCCUUAUAUUGCUGCUGCGGCUUCCAAUAAUUGAUGCGUAACAAUUCUGAGAUACACAUACUGAUGCUCCUUCAUGCAAAUAUUGCUUAUUCUUGAUUGAAAUGGCAUCAAAUCAAGUAAAAAUGAGUAUUCGUUGAUCCAUGCCACAUCUGUUGAAUGUGACCUCUUGGUCCUCCCUAUUUUCAAUCUAUUUUUGGUGUUGUUACCAGGUUAUGAAAGGCUAAAACUCUGUAGUUAAAAUGUCAAAUUUAAACCUAAGCUCCAUGUAAGUUUCACUGGUAUUAAGUUGCUGAUAAUUGAGUUGUUUAUACGAAGUAACUUUAUUGUGCAAUCCAUUUGCCAUUUAUUGGUUUUUCUAUAAUGUAUUCACCAUUUUAAUUUUGCAAGUAAUUCUCACUUUCUUACCUAUACAUGAUGGUCCUAACUUUCCUUUUUAGAUCAGACCCUGUUCCAAAUAUGAUCGAAAUGAAUCCAAUACUAAUUAUGAUUUGCAAACAGGAUUUUGAAGUAUUAACUAUAACUCUACACUCUACAGUAAGAUGUGCAGAGUACAACAAUGGUCAAGUUCAAAAUAGGCCAUUUUAGCUAAUGAAGUAUUCUUUUACAGCUUACAUUCUGUAGUACAUUUGGUCUAAAUAAAUGAAGAGACCUCCUGUACAAGCAACUUUUGAUAAACACUAAUCAAAUCAUUCUUGUGAAAUCCGUAGAGUAUUUCUGUUGUUUCUUAAUGUAGGCAUAUUUUAUUACUGAGUUAUUUUGGUGUAUGUCCAAUCUUGUAUUUCAAGUUGAGGCAUACAAUCGGAAUUCACAAUGUAUGAAUUGCACUGAAUGUUCGGAUCCACUGGUGUCCAAAAACAACAGGAUGCC